ACACCCUGUGCUAGAAAACUGGCUGAGAAACUGCACUAUGAACUUUGUUUCUAACAAUUCUGCUUCUGCGCUUUGACUGAUGUUCCACCAACAAAUCAGAUCAUAGUUUGUACUUCUAAUUGCAGCCACUGUAACAGUAUCUUUACGCAGUCUUUCCAUUCCAUCUCAAGAGUGUCCUCCUAGCCUCGCCUUUUUCCUAUUUAAUAUCUCCUGCACAACCUCUUCAGAAAUAAUUGGUAGUUUGAAAUGAGCUGAACUUAUGCUGCAAGGGGAGAUUCUGGAGCACAGAUAUCGUGGGUGGGAUUUCCACGCCCAGUCUGUGGAGACAGCACAUAACCUGGGACACAGAAAGAAGAGUGAAGAAACAUCACCUAAAAUCCUUAGAAAAGGAAGAACCAGUGUAAAAGGAAUCGGUUCUAGAAUUUGCAUUCUCUAAACUGUGUCUGUAUAAAAGAUGGACAAAGCUGGCUGAUUCCCCCACCCUGUGAGCUGAAAGCCUUCUGUGUCUCUCCCGCCUUCCGUCAGCUAAUGAACGUCAAUUGACAUAAGUGGCACAGUGACAUCCACUAAUUAGACUAUCACUUAACUCGGGAAGUGUGACAGCAUGAACAUGUUUUGGAGAACAAUCAGAAUACUGUAAAAGCAAUAUUAAAAUUCCUGGCUUUCUACACAAUAUAUAUGUACAUUGCAUAUGUAUAUACACACAUACACAUAAGACAAAAUCAUUUCUAGUUUAAGACAGAAUUACUUUCAUUUCACAAUGAAAUUUUCAGAACUCAUCUUCAUGUUUCUCUAGUAACAGUGCUUCUUGAUGAAUACCAUGAGUGGCACAACAUUUAAGUUUCACAACUCUUGAUUUUCAUCCCCUUGAUAUCAGACAGUAUUCACUAUGGCAAUAACAUUACACAGUCACGUAAUCUCUGUAGAAGUAAAAAAUAAAAUAAAAUGAAAAUAAGUAUUUAGUAAAAAGAACUAAGUAAGAUAAAGAAUUAUUAAGAAGUUAGAGAAAUAAUAGCCCUAGACAAACUUAAGAGGAACAUGGCCAUCAUUUCCUUAAAUAGCCUCAAUAUUGUUUGUCUGCUGGUGUAUCUGCUUUUGAGAAAUUAGCAUUUGAAAUUUUCUUAUCAAGGUUUCUUUAGGGAGGUGUAAUUCAAGGCCUAUGAAAGGAACAGGAAAGUAAUCACUCACUCUUGAAAAGCGUGGGCUCACCUCUAAUCCCAUUCUUCUCCUCACUUCUGUAAAGCGUUAGUUCAAAGACAACUAUAUAGGUUUGAUUGUAUAUGUAUGUGUGUGUGUGUGUAUUUUGUAUACAGGAUAUAUACACACACACACACACACACAUAUAUAUAUAUGUAUAUAUACAUACCACCUUCUCAGAGCCGUUAUAAAUUAUAUUACAUUACAUCAGUCUUCUUUGAAGUUUCCAUCACAUAUGAAAUAGAUGCCUUCCGGUUACAGAAUAUCCAGGCUUAGACAAGUGACGUGCUUUGUGUUAUUCAUUUAUUUGUCCUACAAUCACAAUAUUUUUACAUUAUUCUUCACUGGCAGUACCACAGGACUGUCAGCAGAAACCACCACGGUAGUGCAGUUUUCUGGUGUUUGUGCUAUAAUCAAAUUAACAGAGAUUCUAGCACCUAUUGAAGCACUCAGAAUAUCCGCAAUCAGUUCUCCAAAUGAUUUAAACAAGGAGAUGGUCUUAUUUGCACAUCAGCAAUUUCCACUCCAACAGAAACAAGACUGAAGCAAAAGAAAGAAUUCUUUCCAACAAUUGCCACUGUUCAUACUCGAAGGAUGUUUAUUACAAGGAAACGUGAAGUGUGUUAGUGAAAGGAUAUAGCUAAUGUGACAUUAAAGUAAAACCAGCAUGAUGACCUACUUUUGUUUCUGCUGAAUUAAGUUACAUUUUGUCUUGCCUUGAGAGACUGAAUAUCAUUAGUUAGAGUACCAGGCAUAUUACGCGCUUACCUUCAGUGACAGAUCAAAGCAGCGAGGUAAUCCAGGGACAACAGUGUUGAGCUGUAUGACAGUUGUGCACAGUGGAGUCCUGGGAGGAGGUCACUGCCUAUACAGAAUAAGAAAACAGUGUAAGUUGCUGGGAUAAGUAUCCUUGGGAAAUAUCCUGGGAUAUUUCAGUGUAAGUGCAAUCCAAGAUGCUGAAAUCAAUACAAAUGUGAAACCCAUUUCUAAUUUGCUGUGUUAUGAGAAACGGAUGAGUAAAAACAUAGCGUCUUUUUGAAAUGGACUAUUUUACCUACUUACUUGAAUAUAUAUGUGCAUCAUCAAUACAUUGACAUCAUAAUUCAUCAAAAGGUAUCUAUGGAUACUCCAAACAUUCCUACUUCAAAAGAUUUGUAGGAUCAGAAAACUCCAACAACCUUGAUUCUGAACCUUGGAUGGCCUUGAGCCAUUCACAGCUAUGAACUUAAUCUUUGCUGAAACAAAUGUUUGUAAAGUGAAGUGGAUGUGGAUAAGAUUAUGAAAGAGCAAACCUUAUUUUGUGAUGAGCCCAGAGUUCCUGACACUGCACAGCAUGGACACCGUGGUAUUUGUUAUUCACUAACCUUUCGUGCACUUUCUAGUGUAAAGGACAUAAAAUAUCAACCAAUGUAACUUCCUUUUUUUUGUAUCUCGUAUGACUGCAUCUGUCAAAAAAGCUAACUUACUGAUUAAUGAACUCCAAAGAUAAUCUGUGAAAUUGUGUUCAACUAUUGAUCAUUUUCUGACAUUUCCUGCUGCAAAUAAAGGUGUUUGCUCUUUUUUCCACACACAUUUUUCCUCCUCUAUAUAUAAGUACAGAGAAUCUUUCAGUACGUUUACAACAAAUGAAGUCAAAGACUUCACUUCUGGUAGAAAUGACAGAAAGACUCAAAUGUGAUGCCCACAUUACAGUGAAUAUACUUUCAGAAAACUGAGGUCAUUUUUCAUUAUUUGCACAAGUUGGGAUUAAGUCUCUAAAACCAACACACUAUUUCUUCAAACAAAUCACUGUAUACACCUGAUUAAAUCAGAGUACUUUACAUUAGAAGGCAAAUGUGUUUUAGUAAAACCCCA
ensembl:lncRNA